rnacentral:rRNA from 1 species
CACGUAGGGUGCGAGCGUUGUCCGGAAUUAUUGGGCGUAAAGAGCUCGUAGGCGGUGUGUCGCGUCGGCCGUGAAAACCUGCAGCUUAACUGUGGGCUUGCGGUCGAUACGGGCAUCACUGGAGUUCGGCAGGGGAGACUGGAAUUCCUGGUGUAGCGGGAAAUGCGCAGAUAUCAGGAGGAACACCGGUGGCGAAGGCGGGUCUCUGGGCCGAUACUGACGCUGAGGAGCGAAAGCGUGGGGAGCGAACAGG